rnacentral:misc_RNA from 1 species
CAGGAGAUUCCUGAUGGAUCGGUCCAGAACAUACUAGACCAAGAUAGCCUCAAGUGGGUCUUCGUCGGCGGCAAAGGUGGUGUCGGCAAAACCACUUGCAGUUCGAUUCUCUCGAUCCUUUUGGCUAGAGUCAGAUCCUCUGUCUUGAUCAUAUCAACUGACCCAGCUCACAAUCUUAGCGAUGCGUUUCAACAGCGAUUCACCAAGACCCCCAC